UACGUAGGGGGCAAGCGUUGUCCGGAAUCAUUGGGCGUAAAGAGCGCGUAGGCGGUCCGGUAAGUCGGUUGUGAAAACUGGGGGCUCAACCCUCAGAGGCCGACCGAUACUGUCGGGCUAGAGUCCGGAAGAGGCGAGUGGAAUUCCUGGUGUAGCGGUGAAAUGCGCAGAUAUCAGGAAGAACACCCGUGGCGAAGGCGGCUCUCUGGGACGGUACUGACGCUGAGACGCGAAAGCGUGGGGAGCGAACAGG
rnacentral:rRNA from 1 species